CCUUAUCGAGAGCGGCUGAGGGAAUAGGCCCAGUGAAGCCCGGCAACCUGUUAUGCGAAGGUGUACAAGGUGCCAAAUCCUACAGGAAUAAACCAUCCUGAAAGAUGAGG
rnacentral:ncRNA from 1 species